UACCCACUCCGGAUGGGAGGAGAAUAGAUCAAGAUUGACAGAAAAUUGUCCUCUCCGUGGAUCAACAUCUACGGUGUUCUUCAGCAUGGAUGGAGCUCCUGGCACUUCGUCGUCUGUAGAGUUUCCAAAUGUUAUCGAACUCGGGAUGGCCAACAUCUAAAAAAUGACCAGCUGCCAAUUGAGGUCUUGGGUAGCCAAUCAAGUCGCAUACAAGAUAAACCCUUUUAAAUAGCUCUAUAUAAACUUUGUAUCUCAGGAUUGCUCUACAAAACAGUUACCUUGCGAUGUAAUAAUUUAUCUUGCCAUUCCUUCUGAUGUUAGAUGCACAAUGGUUUAUGCUCAAUAAAGAUAUAUACAUGAA